AGUUGCUGUGGCAAAUGUUUAACAAAAACUCGUUCAUGAAGCCCGAAUUUGCCAAAGAGAUGGAAGAGGGUGAGACAGGUAUUCCUCACAGAGUCCUUACUGAGACCAUCAGAAGGCAGUGUUCCUCUGUCUACCUUUCUCCCACAUAAAUUAUGUGCCAGCGCCUGCUGGACCCCAAAGGUGAAAAACAGGAUAACACUGAUGUCCCAAAGUAGCACUGGAAAAAAGACAGAAUUUAUCACCUUUGAUCUAACAACCAAGAAGACUGGAGGCCAAACAGUCAUCCAAGCAUAUGAGAUCGCAAGUUUCCAGGUGGCAGCUCAUCUGAAGUGCCCUAUCUGGAUGGGAGCCAGUGAUGGAUAUAUGAUUGUCUUUACCAGUGGGCCAUACUUGUUACUCUUCAGCAUCACUGGCUUCCUGCUGCAACGAUUUGAGGACCAUCAGGCAGCCAUCAACAACUUCUGGGUGGUAUGUAUGAUUCUCCUCCACUGCUUUUUGAUCUGACUUUGACUCCUUGGCCACUCACUCUGGCUAUCCUUGGAAGGAUCCUUGCUAUGUGCUCACCACAUCCGAGAACUCUGUGCACGUGUACAUGUGGGAAGAAGGAGGCCGCCAUCCAUACCUCAGGAGCUGCUGUCACCUGGAAAACACGUGGCAUGAUCACACAACAGACAGCUGCAUCUCCAGUGUGAUGUGUGAUAAUGCAAGCAUAGUACUUAGGGUGAGGAAAAAACAUGGUGGAAUGCAUAGCACCUCAGCAUUGUUCAAAACUGCAAACACAAAACAAAACUAAAAAAAUCCAUGGCUAGAUGGCUGGAAUAGAAUAGAAACUUCCAAAAUUGGAGAAUGAAAAAAAUCCAGAAAAUUCAACAAAUGCUGAAGUUAAUGUCUUAUUUCAUAGAAUUCCAAAGGCUACAUGAUGAAAUACAGGCCUCCACCAAAUUGGUGGUGAGAUCAGAAAUCUACAAGAUCCGGGACCCUCAGAAAAGUAAUACUCCUUGUAGGUAAACUGAGGGAAAAUCUAUUCGUUAGAGAAGGAUGAACAGCUACCUCCCUCAGCUUCAGAGAUGGGUGAAAUCAAGACAGAGAAACAAUUAUCUUCAGAGAAUUCCUAACCAUAACCAAAGUCACAUUUGGGGUUUAUAUCAGUCAAGGUCCCAGGAUGAUAAAGAUGUCACAUACAAAUUAAGGGUCUCGCUCUGUCACCCAAGCUGGAGUGCAGUGGUGCAAACACAUCUCAUUGUAGCUUCAACCUCCUGAGCUCAAGCAAUCCUCCUGCCUCAGCCUCCCAAAGUGCUGGGAUUACAGGCGUGUGCCACCACCCUGCCCUCAAUCAUUUCUUUUUCUUCAAGACAGGGUCUCACUCUGUCACCCAAGCUGGAGUGCAGUGGUGCAAUCUUGACUCACUGCAGCCUCAACCUCCCAGGCUCAUGUGAUCCUCCCACCUCAGCCUCCUGAGUAACUGGGAUUACAGAGCCCAGGACUGGUAACAGCUGUGCUUCACCAUCCCUUAUUGGCUUCCCAGAGCCUGCAGCUCUGUGCCAGCUUGGGAUCCAACCCCAUGACACAGAGUGGCUCCUGCCACAUGCCAGAAUGUCCCUGCCCUUCUCUCCAGAGGCCCAGUCAGUGAGAGGAGGAGGAACUAGAAUCCAGGUCUCCUCCCUCCCAGAGCAAGGCUCCUGUCACUCCACUCCCUGGGGCUUCUUGGGCCUGCGAUCUUGAAAGACAGGGUCUCACUGUCACCCAGUCUGGAGUGGAGUGGCAUAAUCUUUCACUGCAGCCUCAAACUCCUGGAGUCCAGCAAUCCUCCCACCUCAACCUCCUAAAUAGCUGAGACUACAGAUGUGUGCUACCAUGCCCAGCUAAUUUUUAAAAAUUUUUCGUAAAGAUGGGGUCUGGCUAUCUUGCCCAGGCUUGCAAUUUAUAGAGCUCCAGACACCCUCAUUGGUAGCUGCUUCUGAUAAAUUCCACACUAUGGCCAGAAGAUGGCAGCAAACCACCAGCUUCAGCCACUUACCUGUGGCCCAGGACACCGGACCAAGUUUCCAAAAUCUGAGCUUCACAUUCCUAGACCUCCAGAGGUUCUCUUCAUGGCCACCUGGACAACUGGCAAACCAUUCUGUUUCCUUACACGUGCACAUAUCAUCCAGAUAACUGAAACUCUUAUCAAUAAAACCCCAACAUCAC
rnacentral:sRNA from 1 species